rnacentral:rRNA from 1 species
UACGGAGGGGGCUAGCGUUGUUCGGAAUUACUGGGCGUAAAGCGCACGUAGGCGGCUUUGCAAGUUAGAGGUGAAAGCCCGGGGCCUCAACUCCGGAAUUGCCUUUAAAACUGCAUCGCUAGAAUUGUGGAGAGGUAAGUGGAAUUCCGAGUGUAGAGGUGAAAUUCGUAGAUAUUCGGAAGAACACCAGUGGCGAAGGCGACUUACUGGACACAUAUUGACGCUGAGGUGCGAAAGCGUGGGGAGCAAACAGGG